UUGGAGGGCAAGUCUGGUGCCAGCAGCCGCGGUAAUUCCAGCUCCAAUAGCGUAUAUUAAAGUUGUUGCAGUUAAAAAGCUCGUAGUUGAAUUUCGGGGUCAGUAGGUCGGUCGUGCCACUGGUAUGAACUGGUUUUACUGAUUCCUCCCUCUUGAAGAACUGUAAUGCCAUUAAUUUGGUGUUGCAGGGAAUCAGGACUGUUACUUUGAAAAAAUUAGAGUGUUUAAAGCAGGCUUUAGCUUGAAUACAUUAGCAUGGAAUAAUGAAAUAGGACGUUUGAUCCUAUUUUGUUGGUUUCUAGGAUUGACGUAAUGAUUAAUAGGGAUAGUUGGGGGCAUUAGUAUUCAAUUGUCAGAGGUGAAAUUCUUGGAUCUAUUGAAGACUAACUACUGCGAAAGCAUUUGCCAAGGAUGUUUUCAUUAAUCAAGAACGAAAGUUAGGGGAUCGAAGACGGUCAGAUACCGUCGUAAUCUUAACCAUAAACUAUGCCGACUAGGGAUCGGAUGAUGUUAAUUUUUUAAUGACUCAUUCGGCGCCUUACGGGAAAC
rnacentral:rRNA from 1 species